GUAUUUGUCAGAGGAAAUUGAAAUCAGACGGGGUACACGACAAUUAGACCGAAAUCAUUAGACUGAAAGCAGUAGACCGAACUCAUUGGACCGAAAAGCACUUUACCGAAACCUCACUAGACCGAACAGCAUUAGACCGAAAUGGUACAUAAAUUAAAAAAGAUUACAGUAAAUUAUGAAUAAGAACGAGAAAUGGAAACCUAUGAAUAUUUCCAACCCUUCUACUCGUCUAAGAAUGGCAAGGAAUAUGCCGCAGUGGAUGAACAAAUCGGGCAGUGGAGUUCCAGCCCCACCAGUACCAAACGACGAUAGAAUGAUGAGACAAGCGAAGCACAAGCAGAAAAUGGACGAACCAGAUUACGAAGUGAUAGAAUUCGGUCAGUAUUCCAAUGCCACACCACCAUUACCAGCAAAGAAUAUAAAUCAUAAAAAGCCAGAGGGACAUCGUUGUCAACUAUGCGGUUCUUCAGCUUCAAAUAUACACUGUGAGCAAUGCAAACAGGUAUUCUGCGUUUCCUGUGAUGAUAUGUACCAUAGACAUCCCAAAAGACAGACCCAUAUACGAAGAAGACUUGAACAGACCAUCAGGCCUCCAUUGCCGCCCAAAGGGGAACCAGUUUCCGCACCAGUACCGCCUCCCAGGCGUCACAGAAGAGGCGGAUCCAUUGGACCCUCUCCCUGCCAAAGUCCUACUUUUAGCAGACAUCCUCAGGUGAACAGGUCCUCUACAAUGCCUAGAAGGGAGAGUCAUGAUGGUGUAUCUUUGAAAGAUAAAUUCGUCAAUUUGAAACGAGAGGUUCUUGGAAAUAGACCCCUGCCACCACCGCCGUCUAGUCCUUUUCAGUCAGAAAGCUCUGCACCUUCGUUCGAUAGCAGCAGAAGGCUCGUUCCUAGCCCAAGUCCAUCUCUGCAACAACGCUACAGGCAGCACCAGCUUGCCAUGCGGGGAACUGUCUCUAAUUUAUCAGAUUUCGAUCAGAAUUUCAACAGAGAUAUGGGCUAUCCUAUGAGAGAUAUAAAUGAGGUAGAAGGAGGUCAGUGGAAUGGUCGAUCCCGAACAGGAAGUAUUUCUGGCUCUGAUAUUGGUAGAAGAAGUUCAAGGAAGUUGAGUAAUAUAUCCUAUCCUCCUUCUGAAAGAGACGGUUCUGAUCAUUCUUCCAGUUUUAAUGUAAACAAUCCAAUGAUGCAUCAUCACCACCAUCAUGGUUUCAUGCCUGUUCAACAAGCCCAAUCUAUGGCAAAUCUAAACUAUCCACCUCCCUGUUGCCAGAAUCCUUGGAUGAAUCAGUUUGGAUACGACCAACAGCUCCAUGGUAGUAACCUUAGUCUAAAUAUGGUUCCAAGGGGAUACCCCAUGAUGAAUCCAGCAUGGAUGGGACCAUGGCAUAAUCCACAAAAUAUUCCUAUGUAUCCUCCAUAUUCAAUGUCUAUGAGUAACGUACACCAUCCAGGAUACACCCCUUCAAGACCAGGAUCUCCUACGCAAAGUAUUAAAUCCAGAAAAUCAACUUUAAGCAGAAAGAGCAGAAAAAAAUAUGUUGAAGAUACUGAAGAUGAGGAUGAAGACGAUAGAAGAUCAACUUUCAGUCAUCAUAGUGAAAGAAAGUCUUCAAGAGGAAGAUUUCCGGCUAAAAGGGACAGCAUCAGUAGAGAAAUUCCUAGCAGAAGUUUUACAGAGAGGCAGCCGUCUGUACCUAGAAGCAAGCGUAGUAUGCAUACUCCAUCUAGUGAUACUGAUGACGAGUUAUCAGAAGAAGGUAACAAUCGUCUGAAACCUAGUGUGGUUAACGACGAAAACGGUUCUGAAUAUGACAACAUCCCUAAAGAGGCAAAAGAGAUUGCUAGUGACACCCAAUGGGAAUGUGAGCAUUGUACAUUUGUAAACGAACCUAGUACCAAGGUAUGCACAGUCUGCUGCAAGACGUCUACACUUUCAAGAAAAAUAAAAAAAGAAGACUCUCUUCCCAGAGAAACGGAAAAGGUUCAUAUCAACGUAUCAAGUGAUGAUUUCAGUAAAGAUUGCAGCGAGACUGAAUCAGUACUAAACAAACUUGGAAAGUUGACCAUAUCAGACAACGACACUAAAAUCCAACAGCAGAUCGAAUCAAAGAAAGGCAGUGGAGAAAAAAGUGAAGUGGACAAAAAUAAUAAUAACGUUCCAAAUGGAAACAUAGACACAGUGAAGAGUACUGGUACGUCAAGUGAAGUGCAAACAGAGGAAGUUAUACAGUGUGUGUCAGAAAGUCAGGACAAGAGGCCUCCGAGGAAUGUGGCGUCUAUUUCAACUGGUACUUCUCCUCCACCGCAGAAUAUGUCCACUCAGACGUAUGAAGAGAUGGUCGUUGAAGCUAAUAACCAACCCAGAGGACGCAGUCGAAGCAGACGUAGUAACUAUCUGAAGAGAUCCCAGUCCUUGCAUUCUGCUAAUUCCCAGGCUCAUUCUGAAUGGUCAUCACUUCAUCGAUCGCCAAGUGGAAUGUCGUAUACAACUGAUUCACAGAGCUUACCUGGAAGCCGAGAAGCCAGUCCUGUACCAUACAUUGAAGAUAUGCCUUAUAAAAAAUAUAAUAGGCCUGUGAGUAGAAACCGAACAUCACAACCUGAAAUAAGACUUUCCCGGAGCAUCAUGGAUCUUAGGAAACCCGAUCUCUAUAGAAGACCUAGCCAAGUGGACUUGGGAUACUAUAGGAUGGAAAACAUGCACCCAAGUCACCUUCGACCAGAACCUUUUCCACAUCACUUCGAGAGAGAAAAUGGCGAACUCAAUCAAAAUGGUUAUGAUCCGUUCCAAAGCUCGGGAAUGGAGGUCGUCAAACUGCUUCGUGAGGCAGAACAAUAUAAAUACACAGCUGACGAACUACAAGCCGCCCUUAUCCAUUGCAAAGACGCCAAUCCCAUCGAAUGGCUAAAGGAGCACUGGGAAUCAACUAUUUCCAGUGUUCAAACUCUAGCCACGCAAAUGGGUCGUGAAGGACCCAUCAACAUAGUUGGUACUGUAUCCAAAGUUGAAGCAAGAGAUGCUUUGAGGAAGCACAAGGGAAACAUGUGGCCGGCUGUAGAGGAUUGUGUGGAACAACGACAGAAAAAGUAUGCUGAUUUGGCUUCCCGAGGAGACUACAAUAGAGAAGAUAUCAUAACAGUCUUAACGGCAAAUCACGGUGACUUGGAAGCUGCAUACAGUGAACUCAGUAAAAUGCAACUGAAACCUUUUUUAAUGAGGAUUUGGGGCCCACCGGUGGGUAUUGAGAACGAGGCAGGUAAUGAGGGGGUCAGCGUUAGUGCUUUUGACGGGGAAGAGGCAUCUAUUGAUGAUAGUUUUUUAAGAUCAGAAUCAAAAGCGGUAAGUACCCCCACUUCAAUAAUUAGUCAAAACUCUUCAGAAAACUUGUUUUUGCCAAUAUCUCCUCUACCAGAAGAAACAGAGAAAGUAAACAGAGAUCAAGAAGCAGAUGAUAAUAGGGAGGCAUUGGAUAAUUUGGAGUUGGAGAUUUUAAAAAAUUUGGAAGACAUCAAAUUGUUGAGUCUGAAUUUAAUUAACGAAAACGAAGCUGUUGUCAGUAAUACAAUGAAUUAUGAUGAAGUUAAAGACAAAGAAAGAGAUAAAAGAAUAGCUCAAAAAGCUGAAAAAUUUCACGACAAACUUCCAGCAAAAAACGAUGCAGCGGAAAAAGGUUCUUCUACUGGCAUUGUAAAUACAGAAUCUAAACAGCAAAUGCAAAUCCCAUCUGCUGAUAUUAAUACAGAGCAAACAAAUAUGGAUAAUACCGUACAAUCAAAUUUUAAGGACAACGUUCAACAACCCAAUAUUCAAAAUAAUUCAAUAGAAAAAGAUUCCUCAACUAAAAAUGAAGGAUCUAUAGAAAGUUAUACAAUCAAACCAGAUUCAAUAAAACCUGCUGAAGCAAUAGAAUCUAACAUACACGUUCCAGAAACUUCAGCUGCUGCUAUGAAACAAAAUAAUGCAUAUAUUGAACCUGAAACAUCUGCCCAACAAAUUGAAACCAAAGAUCUUACAAACAUUUCAGUUGCUGCUACGGCACAUACCGAUCAAUUUGUUCAUACUGCAGUACUUCCUAAAGAUAAAAUUGAUAAUUCAGUAGCCAGUUGUGAAGAAACUAAACCAAAAAAUAAGUGUUACAUAGAAAAAAGUAGUACUGUGAUCCACAUAGCUGAUUAUCCCAGUACAUCGCACAUUUCUAACAUUACUUCUGACGAAGAUAGUCAUCAUGAAUUUGAAGAUGCUCUAGAUACCACUCUCGAAGCCGUAGUAUCUUCAACGACUAUCAAAAAAGAAGAAAUACCAGCAAUAGUAGAACAUUCAACUAAGAAAGUUAAUAAGAAACCACACACUGAAUUUCUACCUACUGAUAAUACAGAGAGUAAUGCUAAAGAGUCUUUAACAUCAAUAGAACCAGUAAAAAUUGCCACAGAAGCAGAUAUUUCAGAUAUAGAUAAUACUAAGAAUAUUACAGCCCUUCCAGUAAAAGAGGAAAAUAAAAACUUUAAAAGAAAGACUAGUAUAUCAACUCUAAAUAUAUUUUUUGGUGAAAGAAAUGCUGAUGGCUCUACAGCAACUGGUUUAAGCAAUGCUGGCAACAAAAAUGUAUUAGAUGACGAAGAAAACACAAUUGUAGAAAGUCAAUCGUCGAUUAUGUUAAAACCUGUGGCUAAGAACGAAAUCAACACACCAAAUGUAGUUGUGCAGGAGCCGCAAAGUGUUAGUUUUGAUGCAAACCAAAAUAAUAGCAUCGAAUUCACAGAAGAACAAGUUCAAGAGGUAUCAAAGCAACAAACUAUUGCAAGAAAUGAACAACCAUUAGAAGAAAACAAUAGAAAAAAUGUUGAGGAAAUAAAAAUAGACGCUGACAUAGUUCAAAAUAAAGAUAUAACUAAUAAUCUAGUUGAUAUUGGAUAUUCAACAAAUAGCAAUGUUGAAAUAGUCAAUUCUGAGCAAACAAAUGAGGAAAGAGAUACAGGAUGUGACUUAGUUAAUGAAAAUGCUGUUGAAAUCACUCCUCAUUAUGCAAGUAAUGCCGAACAAAACAUAUCUAUGUUUGAGGCUAUAUCUUCAGAAAAAGUUGCCUCUAAAGAUCAAACAAAACAUACUCAAAUUCCUACUUCUAGUGCAAUUGAGAUUACUCAGGCCAAUUAUGGUGAAAAUAUCUCUCAACAUAUAGAUAUUAAUCAAGAAAACCUGUCAAUAUCUGAAUCUAAAGAUUCAGUUAGCGAGGUACCUGAAAGUUCAACAAAGCAUAAAGAAGAAUCUAAUAAUCAACUAGAUUUAGGUGUAAACAAAGAUGGAAUAAACAUAACUAAAACUAACAUUCAAAGAAAUGGGUCCAAUAAGAAGGAAGAUGAUGCACCUGGCAGUUCAACACAGCACAAAGAAGAAGUUAGUACUCAACUAGAUUUAAAUAUAGAUAAAGUUGUAGCAAAUAUACCUGAACAAAAUAUUCAAAAAAAUGUGCCCAAUGAGAAGAAAGAAGACGUAUCUGAAAGUUCAACAAAGUACAACGAAGAACCUAAUAAUCAACUAGAUUUAUGUGUAGAUAAAGUUGGAGCAAACAUAACUGAACCUAAUAUUCAGAGAAAUGUAUCAAAAAAGAAGAAAAAAAGUCAAGAAAUAAAAACGAACAGCACCGGAAAUAAAGCACAGGGAAAUAAUAUAGAAAUACCUAAAAGUAAAAGUCAGAAAACAUUGGCUAAAGAAGUUUUGGAGAUAAAGGUCGACAAUCAACAACUAGUGAAAGAAUCCAUUGGACCAGAAUCUAAAAACAAUAAUACUGGAACUAAUAUACAGAUCCCAGACAAAAAUUUAUUAGAAGAAAGUCUUAAUAAACAGAUUUCAGAAAAAGAAAUUAACGAAAAUAGUACCAAUGAAGUAUCUAACAAAGAUUCUAAUUUAAUGUCUACCAAUAAAAAUGAUAUUGCUCGAGAAGUAUCUCAACAAAAGAAUGAAGUUAGAGCUAGGGCAGAAUACAGAAAAAAUGAUAGCUAUGAUUCUGAUGAAGAAUCUAGUAACUACCAAAACACUUUACCUAGAAAUACAACAUUUAAAAUCAACAGAAGAAGACCUGUCAAGAAAAGAAAUAAAAACGAAAGAUCUUCUAGUCAAAAAAUCAAAGCAACUGCAAAACCUCAGAUACAGGAUAGUAGAAGUGAGUUCUUAGAUAGCAACGUCAUGGAAAACAAAGAAUAUACAAACAAAAAUAAAGAAGAAGCUACUAGAAAAAUAGAAGCAAAACAAGGAGCCUCAAAAGAGAAAGUAGAACAUAAAGAAGUAAUUGAUCAAUCGAGUAAAGUAGAGCCCAAAGUUACAACUCAAGUUCAAAUGUCACAAAACGCCCAAACAAUUCCUGUAGCACAGAAACCCUCAAAGAUCCCCCUCUUAAAACAACGGUGUGUAUCUUUAACAAAUGCGCUGCUUUCUCCAUCACCAUCAAGUCCAAGCAAAAUCCCUAUAAAGAACAGAUUUUUCUUCAAUAAGUCUCCUUCUGUAACGCCAGACCGUGAAAGUAAAAAAGAUUUGAAAGAAGCAGUUGGUGUUCCAUCAACACCAAGUUCAAGAGACACCAGCCCUAUGAUAGCCAUCCCAGAACAACUGGACAGGCUUGAUCCUAAAAACAAAUUAAAAAUGCUGUCGACGAAUAAAGGAUCUUUUGAAUCUACAACCAGUUCCAAACAACUCUCUUAUACGAAAUCAUUAGACAAUGACAGCGAGUCUUCUGUAUCUGACAGUAACAUUGAAGAAUUGCUGGAAGACGAUGACAGCUAUGACGAUGUACAAGAUUACGGGCCUGUGGAUUCCGAAGAAUCCGAUGACUUCGACAGAAUAAACUCCAAUAUAGAAAGACUUAACCUCAACCUGAACCGAGACAACACUGUAAUCGAUAUGAGUAAAAAGGAUUUAAGAAACUAUAGUAUAGAAGAAACCUGCGAAUCAGAAGAAUAUUCUGAUUACGUAGAAGAGGAAGAAGUAGAAGUGAGUGAGUACGAGGACGAGGAGGAUGUGGAUGAUGAUGAAGAAGGUGAGGAAGAGGAGCACAACCAUAAACCGGUAACGGAUAUGGAGCGUCACGCGCGACAACUUCUCGCUGAAGGUAAAGUAGAUAACUAUGAACAAGCUGAACUUGCAGCCAGUCUACUCCUGCUGAAAUUUUCGACUGAAGAAGCUCUUGAGGCUGUGAAAGACUGUAAUUCCGUAGACGCCGCCAUAGCUUUCCUGCAACAGGACUGCGAGCUUUGUGCGGGGAAAUAUCCCAUGAAAGAGAUAAUUUCUAUGCUAAAAUGCACCCACCGAUGUUGCCAAGAUUGCGCCAAAAAUUAUUUCACAGUCCAAAUCACCGAUAGAAGUAUAAUGGAUUGCAGCUGUCCUUUUUGUAAGCAACCAGAUUUAUCCAGCUCAGAAACACACGAAGAUGAAGUGACCGAGUACUUUGGAAAUCUAGAUAUUCUAUUAAAAGGGAUUCUGGAUGAACCGGUUCACGAACUUUUCCAAAGGAAGCUGAGGGAUAGGACUUUGAUGCAAGAUCCACAUUUUAAGUGGUGUAUAAAGUGUUCUUCGGGGUUCAUUGCUCACCCUCGUCAGAAACGACUGAUUUGUCCAGACUGUAAGUCAGUUACGUGUGCGAGUUGUAGAAGACCGUGGGAAAAACAGCAUGAGGGGAUCACAUGCGAGAAAUUCGCGGAAUGGAAAGACGCCAACGAUCCUGAGAACCAAGCCUCUGGCGUUACGAAGCAUCUUGCUGAAAAUGGAAUAGACUGUCCUAAAUGUAAAUUCAGAUAUUCGCUAUCAAAAGGUGGUUGUAUGCAUUUUACUUGCACGCAGUGCAAGCAUGAGUUUUGCUAUGGUUGCGGCAAACCAUUCAUGAUGGGAGCUAAGUGUACUAUCAGCCAGUAUUGUGGAAAGUUGGGCUUGCAUGCGCAUCAUCCAAGGAACUGUUUGUUUUAUCUGAGGGAUAAGGAACCACAUGAACUGGAAAAGUUAUUAAAGGAUAACAAAAUUGAAUAUAGGCUGGACAAUGAUGAAGACAAUGCUUCUGCUGUGCUGAAGUGCAUGAUACCUCUACAAAAAGAAACACCAACUGGCUUGUUAGAUACUGUAUGUAAUAAUGAAGUGACUCCAGGACAAUCAGGUCUUUGUAGGAACCAUUAUUCUGAAUAUUUGUGUCUUGUGAUUCGAAAGCACAAUCUUGAAACAAUAGACUUGUUAACAGCAGAUGAUUUGGAGACUGUAGUAAGAAGAGCUUCUAAAAAGUUGCCUCCUAAUGCAUUUGGCACUCCUCGUGAAAUGUAUAAAUCUCGUUUAAGACAGGCUGCAUUACAUCGAGUAUUUAGUCGGGCUCAUUGGCAGACACCAGCUGGAUCCCAUACCCAUUCUGGACCUAGUUGAGGUCAGCCAGGAGUUGCGCAGAAGAGGUAGAGACUUACCAGAACGUUCCGCUUGGUGUGACGACAAGGAGUACAAGAAUAUCUGUGCGAAGAUCGUUAUGGAACAGAUACCCUUAGAGUAACGUUUGUUGAUAUUUCCAUUUUGGAGAAGGUGAUUUCUCUUUCCUCUACCAUGUAUGUGGAGUGUUUUUUAUACAUAGAUUAUAUAUAAAAGUGAAAAUAUUUAUACGAUAUAUUAAAUUACUUAAAAUAA